AGCUGAUAAAUGUCAUAUUUAAAUUCUCCUUACUCACGUUUUCCCCAAAACUUCCCAAACAAAACCUGUAAUGUAUCAAAUUUGGCGCUUUUAUGUCGAGAUUCGAUCAGUUCACCAUAAAUAUUCAAAUUGGAGGCGCACAUCCUUGCAGCGUAAUUGAUUUUCCCGCCAGCGAUAUCUCCGGGAUUUAUUGCAGCCCCUGUUUCGGCUCUUACCUCACACAAAGAUCGAUGUCGAAGGGUACUACCUGUUAUAAGCCCAAAGAUUCGAGGACUCUUAGCCCGAAAUUCACUGCACUCGACCGAGCAGAACUUAUCGGCCAGCUCGACAUGAUUAAUUACCCAGCGAAGACCCUCGAGAUCAGUUCGUUUGAAUUGUGGCCAAAAUAUUGUCACGCUUCGGAAUCGGUAUGAAAUGAAAAACACGAUCUGAGAGCCUCCAAGGAAAUGGUUCUCCGCUUGAUUGAUUCCACUUGGCGGCACUUGCCGAUAAAAGAAGGACAAGUUCCCAAAUGAUUCCGAUUUAUUCGGGCCGUGUAUUGUCAACCUGAAGUUGGUUGUUAUUUCUGUCGAGUGCGAGGUACCCAGAGAUUACGCGGCAAUUUGUUUUGUCUGUGCAUUUUCUGGGAAAUAUUUUCAUAAUUUCUUCGGCUUAACCUUAUCGCUUGAAUUUAUUUGUUUGCAUAAUGAGAGGGUAAUUGAAAUCUCAGCCAGGGGAAUUGGAAUUGGAAUUGGGACAGGGCCACCACGAAUUCCAUCUAACUGCGACUAUCAAGAUCAGAAACAUUUUAGUUAAUCCAAAUAAUCGGGGGCCACGAAAUGUGCAUUCUAUGCAAAUUCCGGCCAAGAUGCAACUGCGAAAUUUAUGCGAAUGCUAAUCAAGUUAACACCAAGGCAUAGUCGCUGUCGUCUGACAAUUUUUAAAAAAUAAUGACAGCACUGUGCUGUGUGCUGCAGCUCCACAAAUUACAAAUGCACACAAAAUGCCUUUUGGAUUUCGGAUUUUGUAUUUUGUGAUUCGGUUUUCGCCUCUUGCCUUUCAACACCUCGGUGCCCACAUUUCGUUGCGUUGAAUGAAUGAUUCGACAUGUUCCAAGUGGGCGGCCCGCCUGAGGGCGUGUCACUUUCUGGUGAGGGCGAGGGGCGUGGCAUGGGGGAGAGCGGCGAACAGCAGGCGGCUGAUUCUUCCCGAGCUUCAUGGGCACUUUUUUUUGACAUUUAGCGCGUGCGCAAGCGCAGAAAGAAAGAGUCAUGAUCUAAGCAUCUAACGAUCUAAUGCACAGCGAGAAAAAAUAGCUUUAUAUUAUCUUAAUCCACAAAUUAUUCGUAGCUAUUAAAGAAAACGCUCUAGUUGCGUGAUUUCAAUUUCCUUUGAAAUAAACAAAUCUACAAUAAAA